GUCUCCCAUGUGAAUUUUUGGCCUUAAAAAACAGCUUCCAUGUUUCAGAAGAUGAAAAAAAUAGCCCAUCUGCUGGUGCAAGCAGAAAACGAACUAAAGCUUUUAGCAGCCAUCACUGCACACAGCUCUGCCUGUAUACACCUCCAAGUCAAAGACUGGCUGGACACUUCCCAUUUGAAGGCAGUAUAACAAAGUCAGUCGGUCAAUCACGUGCUCUCCCAGCAAUCCAGGUGCUACAGUUUGACACGUACAAACCAGAAGGCUGAACUGACCAGCAGACCACUAACCCCUUACGCUCCUCAGAUGUCUCCAGGAACCCUGCAAGGCACUGGCUGCUGAACAAGUGACAAAUCAACCUGACAUGGGUCUUGCUUUAUGUCACUUCCCACGGUCCAGCUCUUCCCCCCCACCCAGAUUAUUAUAAACCCGUGGUCCCCAUUCUG